AUGGGAGAGCGGCUCUGCCCCAAAGCGCGGCCCGGGCUCGGCCGGGGUGAGCAGAGGGCAGAACCCCGCAGGCGCUCGGCCCCAGCCGGCGGGCCCCCGCGCGGGGUGCGGCCUCGGAGGCCUCCGUGCAGCCGCCGGGAGGAAGCCGGGCCCUCGGCACGUCGAGGCGGCUCCCGGGAGCUCAGCAGGCUGCCGGUGCCGGCCCCCCGGGAUGCCGCAGCGCACAGCCCGGGGCCCGAGCGGGCGGGCGGGCGGCGUCGGCCCGCGGCUGGGCGCAGCAAGCCCCGGGCUGAGCCUGAGCCCGUACGGGGCAGCGGGGAGGGCCCUGCCCGGCCCCGGGAACCCAGCCCGGUGCCCCCGAGGGGGGAGGGAGACACCGGCCGGGUGCCAGCCGCGGGACCGGCACCGGGCGGGUCCCGCCGGUUCCCCCCCCGCCCGCAGCCCCCCCCCCGGUCCCGUCGCGCUCACCUCGGGGGGGCGCGGGGCGCGCUGCGGGCGGGGCGGAGCGGGGCGGGCGGCGCCGGGCGCUCAGCGCAUGGCGGGCGGCGGCUGGGGCCGGGGCCGCGGCGGGCACCGACCGGCGGCCGCUUCUCUUCCGCGGGCACGGCGCAACAACGCGCGGCACCAUUGGCUGCCGCCAGCGCGUCACCGCGGCGGGCGCAGGCGCGGCACGGGGCGGGAGGCCCCGCGGGGACCGGACGGGACGGGGCCGCCCCCCCCACACCCCGAGGCAGCCCCGGGAGCCCCUCGCUGCCCGGGCCGCUUCCUGCCCGUCCCCGCCCCGCCGCCCCCGAGCCCCCCGUUGUCGUCCCCGGGUGCCGGCCGCUCCCCGGCGAGCCCCGGGCAGGCUGCGGGAGGCUUCCCGAGCCAGCGCAGCCCCCGGGGACCUGUAUCCCCCCCCCCCCCCCCCCCCCCCCCAGCCAUUCGGAGCUUCUGAACACCAUUGGAAAGAAAGCGACAAAAUUACGGCACGCUUCUGCCAUCGUGUCCUUUAAUAGGAAGCGCUGUUUGACUCUACCUUGUGCUUGCAAAGCAAACAAACGUCUGCGUUCCAAAAAUAUACGGCGGGCACGUCCUCUGCAGCUAUAG
rnacentral:lncRNA from 1 species